rnacentral:rRNA from 1 species
AUUGAACGCUGGCGGCAUGCCUUACACAUGCAAGUCGAACGGCAGCGGACCUUCGGGUGCCGGCGAGUGGCGAACGGGUGAGUAAUAUAUCGGAACGUACCUUUCAGUGGGGGAUAACGUAGCGAAAGUUACGCUAAUACCGCAUAUUCUGUGAGCAGGAAAGCAGGGGAUCGCAAGACCUUGCGCUGAUUGAGCGGCCGAUAUCAGAUUAGCUAGUUGGUGAGGUAAAGGCUCACCAAGGCGACGAUCUGUAGCGGGUCUGAGAGGAUGAUCCGCCACACUGGAACUGAGACACGGUCCAGACUCCUACGGGAGGCAGCAGUGGGGAAUUUUGGACAAUGGGCGCAAGCCUGAUCCAGCCACGCCGCGUGAGUGAAGAAGGCCUC